CCGUCGCCAGCUCGUGCCGUGAGAUGUCCUGUUAAGUCAGGUAACGAGCGAGAUCCCCUGCCACUAGUUGCUAUCAUUAUUCUCAGGAAUAGUGGGGCGAAUUAGUGGGACUGCCGUUGUUAAAACGGAGGAAGGAAGGGGCUACGGCAGGUCAGUAUGCCCCGAAACUCUGGGGCCACACGCGGGCUGCAAUGGUAGUGACAAUGAGUUCCAAACUCGAAAGAGAGUGGCAAUCUCUAAACGCUACCACAGUUAUGACUGAGGGCUGUAACUCGCCCUCACGAAUAUGGAAUCCCUAGUAACCGCGUGUCAUUACCGCGCGGUGAAUACGUCCCUGCUCCUUGCACACACCGCCCGUCGUUUCAUCGAAGUUUGCUUUUAGUGAGGUGAUGUUUAAUUGGCAUUAUCGAACUUGAGGUAAGCGACGAGGGAAAAGUCGUAACAAGGUA
rnacentral:rRNA from 1 species